UGGAUCCAGACUUUGAUCCUGGCUCAGGACGAACGCUGGCGGCGUGCUUAACACAUGCAAGUCGAACGAGGAUGUUGGCUUCGGCUGACAUUCGAGUGGCGGACGGGUGAGUAACGCGUGAGCAAUCUGUCCCACAGAGGGGGAUAACAACUGGAAACAGUUGCUAAUACCGCAUAAGACCACACUGUCGCAUGACAGAGGGGUCAAAGGAGCAAUCCGCUGUGGGGUGAGCUCGCGUCUGAUUAGUUAGUUGGUGAGGUAACGGCCCACCAAGACAGCGAUCGGUAGCCGACCUGAGAGGGUGAUCGGCCACAUUGGGACUGAGACACGGCCCAGACUCCUACGGGAGGCAGCAGUGGGGAAUAUUGGGCAAUGGGCGAAAGCCUGACCCAGCAACGCCGCGUGAGGGAAGAAGGUUUUCGGAUUGUAAACCUCUGUCCUAAGGGACGAAGGAAGUGACGGUACCUUAGGAGGAAGCCCCGGCUAACUACGUGCCAGCAGCCGCGGUAAUACGUAGGGGGCGAGCGUUGUCCGGAAUGACUGGGCGUAAAGGGCGUGUAGGCGGCAGUAUAAGUCCGGAGUGAAAGUCCUGCUUUCAAGGUGGGAAUUGCUUUGGAGACUGUACAGCUUGAGUGCGGAAGAGGUAAGUGGAAUUCCCAGUGUAGCGGUGAAAUGCGUAGAGAUUGGGAGGAACACCAGUGGCGAAGGCGACUUACUGGGCCGUAACUGACGCUGAGGCGCGAAAGCGUGGGGAGCGAACAGGAUUAGAUACCCUGGUAGUCCACGCGGUAAACGAUGAAUGCUAGGUGUAGGGGGUAUCGACCCCUUCUGUGCCGGAGUAAACACAAUAAGCAUUCCGCCUGGGGAGUACGGCCGCAAGGUUGCAACUCAAAUGAAUUGACGGA
rnacentral:rRNA from 1 species